GGCUGAAGUCAUCAAGGAGAAAGCUAAACCAGCUCCUGAGAAGAAAGGUUAGAAUUACCAAUAUUUGACCUCCAAUUUAAAGAAAUUAUUAACAAAUAAUUGAAAGAAAAAAAUAUUCAUAUUAUUGCCUUUUCAGUGUCUGAAGUCUUCAAGGAGAAAGUUAAGCAAGCACCUCUGAAGAAAGGUAUGGAUGUCAAUGAAAUAAUCCUGCAUGUAGUAUUGCUUUCUUUUGUAUGAUUAUUAUAUAAAAUGAUUAUCACAUGAAACAAUACUGUUUUAUAGAGCCUGAAGUCUCAAAAGAAAAGUUAUUAGAGCCAAAACCUAAAAAAGAUGAUGUUGGUCUUAUUGGUUUGGACUUGGAACUCCUGAACUCUAUCAACCAAAAACUGUCUCUUCUGGACUUACUGAGGAAGGACAUUGGUGAAAUGAAGAGUGAUCUGGAGUCCACUCAAAAUCAAAUCACACUUUUACGGAUGGACAACAGAACAAUCAAAGAGCCAGAGAUUGUCGGUGUAAAGGUAAAAGCAGCGGUCUCCAAGGAAAAGCUGAAAACAGCAAAAAAAGGCCUUGAUGCUCUGAUGAACGUUACUAAGACAGCACAUAUUAAAACAGAACGUGAUGCACUAAAAAACAUCACUAAACCAGCACCUGCAAAGAAAGAUAAAGAGGCUCCAAAAGCUAAGAUCAGACCAGAGCCCAAAAAGAAAGGUAAAUUAUAUAUUUACUGUUAACAAUUGAAAUCACCUACCAAUAUCAUUUUCUUUUUGCUAAGUAAAAAGAUUCUUAUUGUUGUAUCAGUGACUGAAAAUAUCUCUCCUGAUGCUAGAAAUCACCCGUGAGAAGGUCAAAGAAGAAAAGGAACCUUUAAAGAAAGGUACUAUGGCUGAUUGCAUAGAGUGAUUUACUAACACAGACUUUUCAUAUUCAUUUUAG
rnacentral:lncRNA from 1 species